UUGGAUAAAUUUUUGUUGAUCGGAUGGGG
rnacentral:sRNA from 1 species